rnacentral:tRNA from 1 species
GCUUCGUUCGACUAGCGGCUAGGUCGUUGCCCUUUCAAGGCAGAGAGGCGGGUUCGAUUCCCGCACGGAGCGCCA